UAUAUAUAUAAAAUUGACAACAAAAGGACGUGCACAAGGAAUGUAUUAGUUUGAUGCUCAGUAAAAAGAGUUUCUGAUGUUUCGAGCAUAACUCUUCAUCGGAAAGAAGAAAGGGAAAGUUCAAAGAAAGAAAAGAAAUCGUCAACAGCACGUGUGU